UACGAAGGGUGCAAGCGUUAAUCGGAUUUAUUGGGCGUAAAGGGCGCGUAGGCGGAUAAGUAAGUCAAAUGUGAAAUCCCUGGGCUCAACCUUGGAACUGCAUUUGAAACUGCUAAUCUAGAGGGUGGACGGAGAAAGUGGAAUUCCAUGUGUAGCGGUGAAAUGCGUAGAUAUGUGGAAGAAUACCGGUGGCGAAGGCGACUUUCUAGUUUUUUCCUGACGCUGAGGCGCGAGAGCAAGGGGAGCAAAC
rnacentral:rRNA from 1 species